CCCCGCUCUCCCUUUCGCCUGGUGAUGCGACGGUGAAAUAUUUUUUUAACUCCCCAUCUCUCAUCAAGAGCUUUUUCUGGAGCUUUAACGCGCUGCCACCCUCGCCCCGGGACCAGGAGCACAUCCGAUUAUUUACAAUUUACAGCGAUACCGGUCCCAGGAGCAGCAAACCCCACGCCGAGGAUGUUUUUUUUUUUUAGGUUAAAAGCCAAAGGGACAGCAGCUAUUCGGAGUCUGUGGCGGAUUCACCAAUUCGCAUUUCUAGUUCAGGAAAAGGCGUCUGAAGGAAACGGUCCAGGGUUUUGAGAAGCAAGGGACUGCAAGUGAACCUUUGCCUUUCCUGUGGAAUGAGAGAGCUGUAACAGGAGGAUGGCAAUCCAGGGGUAACGUCCUGAGUGGUGUGGUUUGGCUUGGGAGCUGGAAAAUUUUCCAUGUUCCAGAUCUUGACACACUGGAAGCCCAGCACAUAAUGCUUGUGAAUAACAGCUCCAUGUCCCCAAUUUCUGAAAUGCUGCAGGAUCACCAC